rnacentral:rRNA from 1 species
UCCGUAGGCGGUGUGGCAAGUCGGAAGUGAAAUCUCUGGGCUUAACCCAGAGGCUGCUUCCGAAACUGCCGUGCUAGAGUGUGAGAGAGGCGAGUGGAAUUGCGGGUGUAGCGGUGAAAUGCGUAGAUAUCCGCAGGAACAUCCGAGGCGAAAGCGGCUCGCUGGAUCACAACUGACGCUGAGGGACGAAAGCUAGGGGAGCAAACAGGAUUAGAUACUCUGGUAGUCCUAGCCCUAAACCAUCAGGACUUGGGGUUUGCCCUGUACGGGGCAAGUCCCGUAGCUAACGCGUUAAGUCCUGCGCCUGGGGAGUACGGUCGCAAGGCUGAA